UGUAUGUUUUAUAUGUAUAAUGUGUAUGCAUAUAUAUAUAUACACGUGCAGACAUUUAUAUACAUAUAUGAUAUGUGUAUGCAUAUAAGUUUAUAUUAAUAUAAUUUGGGUUGAAUUGUUCAAACUCAAAUUGGUCCAUUAGUUUAAAAAUUUCGGGUGUUGCAUCGGUGUUUCUUUCGAGUGUUGGUCGCUAGUACCGCCGAUCUCGAAGACUCGUCGACAAAGUCGGUGUGGAUACCAGUAGAGGCGUCACGCGUGGGACGCUCGGUCGACUAUAUUAAAUAUUACAGAUAGAGGUGGGGAGGGAAGAUCAUUACCAUGUGACCAAGAAGAUCCUUCUCAUGGGCAACUUGAGUAGUGCAAGCAGUGCAGAUAAAUGUUGAGGGUUCGAACUCCUGUUCAUCAUCAUCGCUAAGGAUAAUCACUGAAGGAUCGGCAGCACACUGAAGAUUUAUUGCAGCCAUCAAUCGAUCAAUAUAUCGUUUUCCUCUGGGAGAACUGUAUGUGAUUGAGAUGAUAAUAUAUUUGCGGGGUGAUGGAUAUUGAAACUGAGAGGGAAAAACUAAGAGGGAAAGCGGAAAGAGAAAGCAACGGUUUUCCUUCUCACACUAUGGCGGUAAGGUAACUAUAUAACGAACUCAUUAACUGCCUCUCUUAAUUGUUAAUAAUACCUAAUUAAACUCGGGAUCGAUCAUGAAGCAA